CAGCAGUAGGGAAUAUUGGGCAAUGGGCGAAAGCCUGACCCAGCGAUGCCGCGUGAGCGAUGAAGGCCUUCGGGUCGUAAAGCUCUGUCUUCGGGGAUGAAGAAGUGACAGUACCCGAGGAGGAAGCCCCGGCUAACUACGUG
rnacentral:rRNA from 1 species